UUUUGUGGCAGAUAUGUCCUUUUAUUAGGAAGCCGGUCACAAUCAGGCUGCAUUCCAGCUCCACGUAUUCCUCAUUUAGUACAAUUAAUGAUAAGAAACAACCUCGGUAGAAAAUAACUCUCUCAUGCAAAUUCUGUGUUCUCACUACAUUCAUAUUGGUUGCAGAUGUAUACACAAGCUGUUAAAAAAUAAAGUUCAAUGAGUAGUCAAUACAUAGUCUUUGAAUCUUAAAAAAAGAAACUGGACAAACGGGACUUGUAACAUCAAAGAGACACGUGCUGGCACAAUAAAGACUCACCGUCAUGCAGUUGUAAUUAUUUCUAUUCACAGGGUGGGCGUCGCUGCAUGGGCUCAGAGAUGAGUCGGCAUGCGGCAUGCAUGCGUCUGGUCUUACAUGUGCCCUUUUGUGCUUGAAUAAAGAUUGGUGUGUGUAUGUGUGUGUGUGCACACGCACGUGUGUGAUUGCCGUGGCCUGUGCAGUGGUCCACGUAUGCAAUAGGCCUAUGAGGUUGAGAUUGAAUCAUUAUGGGGUUUUGACAUUUAAUUUGGUUUGUACAAAACAAAACAGAGUGUGCCUCUUGGGGAACUCAGAUGACAUGGUGGGAAUGUUUUGAGACUGUACGUCUGCUCAUCAUGGGUGGGUGGAGAAUCUCCUGGAGUUUUCAAUGUUAGAGGAACAUGAACCCGUUUCAUCCACUUAAAGGGCCGGUUCAUCUGCCAGAAAACCAAGAAUUGAACAAACGUAAGACCCAUGUGACUACGGCAUGGCUAGAGAUCUCUGAGUGGGGACCUCUUUCAGAUCUGAGAGAAAAGACUCACCAACAUUCAUCCUUGGUUAUUUGGUCAAACUCAACAGUUUUCAGUGAGCCAAAGGUACAACAAAGCCUAGCAGUCCAAACCCAACUUAGUUCAGUGAAGUUUAGACACUACUACUCUAUUUGUGUACAGUUAAAACAAAAGAAAAACAUUUUCCAACAGAUGAAUACUUUAAACACAAUGCACCGUUGCACACCUCAAUUGUCUCAAAACAUAUCUUUUUGAAUAGGUGCUAAGAUGGCGUUAAAAACGAUGCAGUUUGGUUCACUUCAUUGACGCAGUGGGUCGUGUUUCACCACUGUGCAUAAUAAGAUGCAAGGAUAAGGGGAUAUUUUAUUUCUCUCCUUUCUCUAAAUAUAAUUCAGUAAGAAGUUCUGGUCCACUCCAGCUUGGUGAUUAAAAAAGCUAAGAUCUGAUCAUCUAAGAUAUGGGCCCGUACCUCUGAAAUGAAACGGGCUGACAAAAAUACUGCAGGAAUGUGAAGUCAACCCGUUCAUGGAAGAAAAAACGUUUGAACCAAAACCAAUCUAAAAAAGUUCUCAAGGAUCUGAAUAUUGCAGUUGAUACUCCAUAGGCGUAGCAUACACUUGUUUACGUAAGUACCAUAUAUUGCUCCCAAUCUCAGAGCCAUUUUUUUCCCUCACAUAUUUUACAAUCAGCCCUAUAUACACACAAACACACACACACACACUCAAUGUCAAACAACACAACAAUUCUCACAGAGGAUUGGCUCGACAGCUUAGGUUAACUUACAGACAAAUGCAGCUAUUGCCUUGAGAAGUGGCUUUAGAUUUGGGAGAGUGGAGACAGUUUUCAGGACAAACAACACAUUUGAUGUGUCCCUCCAGAAAGCAUUAGUCGGGCUAGUAUCUCUGUAUUGCUUGUGUUGGUGGACGCCCCCGCUUGUUGGCGCACGAACACUGGCCCUGAGCCCAGGAACUGAAGGGCCACAGCCAAAACACCCCCUCGAGAAGGGAGCGCAGAUUUCCCCCAAUGUUUACCAUCGGCAAAUGUUAAUAUUUCUACAAAAGGCUUUCUUGCCACCACUCACUUGAGUCGCUUGGCCAAACUCUUUUAUCGUCUGCAGACGGUCAAUGUGUUUUCGUAUCUCGAUAAAGGUAGUGUUUCAAGGAGGACACACAGCGACAACAUUUUGCAGUGAUCUUCCAACCGUAACCAUGAUCAGUAUAAACCAGCGGGUGGCGUCGGACAUCAAGUCUACUGAUUCUGUAGUAGCCCUUUUGAAGAAAAUGUGCAUUCAGGGGGGUAAUAGAGGAUGGAAGCAAGCAAGGGGGAUGCCGUCGUUUAGGGGCACUCUGUGAUAUUGCUCUGUUGGCUUAAAAAGAAAAAAAAGAAAGGGCCCACCAAAGAAUCUGUCUAUACACAAUAUGGCCGUAACAUAAACCUCCCUACGUUACCUCCCACCAACUAAGUGUAAAACAUUGCACCCCAGACCACUGUUCCCCUGCCUUGUUGAUCCAUGGCUGUGAAGGCUAUAGCGUUGCUAGUACACCUCCUGUUAUAGCGAGUGAAUAUAUGCACAAUGUACACGAACACGAGGGGCUCCCGGCGAGAGUGGCCGCGGCGGCGGCGAGUCUGUACAUCGGUGGCCCGGUGUUGGCCAGUGAAUCACAGUGUUCUUGGGAUCAACAUGCAGGCGGGGAGUGGCACAGGACUGGUGCGGGGGUCACAGGGGGGCUCUAGGGUGUCCGCUCUGUAGAUGUUUAUUGUACAGCUCAGGGGGAAGGGGAAGGGGAUCUGGGAAUGUGUGUCCUUAUGAUGCCAACCGGUACACGACCACCCCAGCACACCGGGGAAUGACCAAGCAACACAAAGAGAUGUUGGAUGGAUGCAGAGUGUGAGAGAGAGGGGGGGAGAGAUGGGAUUGAGAGAGACAGAGAGAAAGAGGCAGAGUGAGAGAGACAGAUAGAGAGUGAGGCUGAGAGAGAUUCAGAGUGGCAGAGCGCAAGAGAACGCGAGCGGCACAAUGAGAGAGAGAGAGAGUAAGAGAGAGGCAGAGGAAGACUUAUGGGAAGCCAUCAUUCUGGGGCAGACAGGCAGACAGACAGACGUAUAGACACAGCAUAGCUAGUUAAGUACUGAGUCCGCUUACGGAGUCAGAGAAGCAAAAGUGCAAAGUAGUCUUUAUCAAACUAUGAAUGUGGUGCGUUGUCUCGAUCGUCUUUUAUUAUAAUACAUCAUUGUUGAAAAUGUACAGCUUAUAAAAGUUAGGGUAUGAUAUAAUGACGCUUGUGUGUGCGUUUGUUUUUGUGUAGGAUUGGGUGCAUAUGGACAGGUGCUCGCUGAUCUAUGGCUAACUAGCACUAACUCAAAGAGGAGGGAACAUGUGAUGCUUAUCUGUCUCUCUGCGCGUUCCUGUGAGAACACUGCGAGUGGGUUUGUUGCAUAAUGUAUGCAGAUAGACUUUGUACACUAUAGCGUUGUUGUCUCGCGUGUGUGUGUGUGUGUAUUGCAACCGCGGUCGUCACCUUUGUGAAUGUGUGGUGGCAGUGCAUACAUCAGGGUAUACAUCAGUGCAAGGGCGGUCAUCUGUAAAUCAAGGGGGCAUCAGGGACUCAUCUUCCACUCAAGAGAACGCUGUGUGGAAGGUGUUCUACAUGAUUGACGCCGCACUCAUGUCAUUUUUGUUUGUGGGCGGGAGAG
ensembl:lncRNA